AGUUUUAUAGUUUAUUAAAAAUUGUAAAUUGCAAAUUUAUAGAAAAUAAUUAUUAUUUAAGAUUU
rnacentral:tRNA from 2 species